rnacentral:rRNA from 1 species
UACAGAGGUCCCAAGCGUUGUUCGGAUUCACUGGGCGUAAAGGGUGCGUAGGUGGCCAGGUAAGUUCGGUGUGAAAGCUCGGAGCUUAACUCCGAAAUGGCAUUGAAUACUAUCUGGCUAGAGGGUCGGAGGGGAGACUGGAAUUCAUGGUGUAGCAGUGAAAUGCGUAGAGAUCAUGAGGAAGACCAGUGGCGAAGGCGGGUCUCUGGACAGUUCCUGACGCUGAGGCACGAAGGCCAGGGGAGCAAACGGG